GAUGAACGCUGGCGGCGUGCCUAAUACAUGCAAGUCGAGCGAACGGACGAGAAUGUUGCUUCUCUGAUGUUAGCGGCGGACGUGUGAGGAAAACGUGGAUAACCUACCUAUAGGACUGGGAUAGCUUCGGGAAACCGGUGCUAGUACCGGAUAAUAUUUUGAACGGCAGGGUUCAAAAGUGAAAGACGGUCUUGCUGGCACUUAUAGAUGGAUCCGCGCUGCAUUAGCUAGUUGGUAAGGUAACGGCUUACGAAGGCAACGAUGCAUAGCCGACCUGAGAGGGUGAUCGGCCACACUGGAACUGAGACACGGUCCAGACUCCUACGGGAGGCAGCAGUAGGGACUCUUCCGCAAUGGGCGAAAGACUGACGGAGCAACGCCGCGUGAGUGAUGAAGGUCUUCGGAUCGUAAAACUCUGUUAUUAGGGAGGAACAUAUGUGUAAGUAACUGUGCACAUCUUGACGGUACCUAAUCAGAAAGCCACGGCUAACUACGUG
rnacentral:rRNA from 1 species